CUCGUUGCCUUUGUUUCAGGUAUUGGAAGAUCACGUUCGUGCUCAUCAUCAGUCAUCAAGCUCGGAAAAUCUACAGGUACGAUUUUUGGUAGCAUCAUUGGCGCCGUCUGUGGGAAGCGCUACCAAAAGCCAUGGUAAACACACGUUCAGGUCUUCCACCAGCAAGCUCAUCCGCUCCAAACCAACCCCCUCCUGAGGAUAUCCCUGUUCCUCAAGAGGAAUCAUCAGAAGUGCCAGAGCCCCAGCCGGCGGUCGUCACUGCUGGAGCCUUUGAAGAGCUCAGACAACAGGUCGCCACACUGACUCAGCUGCUAAGUCAAAGAAAUUCGCAUCCGUCACCUACACCAGCACCCCAGGGGGGUUU
rnacentral:lncRNA from 1 species